rnacentral:rRNA from 1 species
GGGCCCGCACAAGUGGUGGAGCAUGUGGUUUAAUUCGAUGCAACGCGAAGAACCUUACCAACCCUUGAAAUCUAGCGAAGUUCACAGAGAUGAGAAUGUGCCUUCGGGAACGCUAUGACAGGUGUUGCAUGGCUGUCGUCAGCUCGUGUCGUGAGAUGUAUGGUUAAGUCCAGUAACGAGCGCAACCCCUAUCCUUAUUUGCCAGCGCGUUAAGGCGGGAACUAUAGGGAGACUGCCGGGUGAAACCCGGAGGAAGGCGGGGACGAGGUCAAGUCAUCAUGGCCCUUAUGGGUUGGGCUACACACGUGCUACAAUGGGAAGUACAGAGGGAUGCGAAAGCGCGAGCUGGAGCCAAACCCUUAAACCUAGUCGUAGUCCGGAUCGGAGUCUGCAACUCGACUCCGUGAAGUCGGAAUUGCUAGUAA